GGAGGGGUGGCUGAGUGGCUUAAAGUACCGCAUUGCUAAUGCGGCGUGCGAAUUUCGUACCGAGGGUUCGAAUCCCUCCCCUUCCG
rnacentral:tRNA from 1 species